AAGAAGCACCGGCUACUCGUGUCCGCAGCCGCGGUAAUACGGAGGGUGCGAGCGUUAAUCGGAAUUACUGGGCGUAAAGCGUACCAGGCGGUCUGUUAAGUCAGAUGUGAAAUCCCCGGGCUCAACCUGGGAACUGCAUUUGAAACUGGCAGGCUAGAGUCUCGUAGAGGGGGGAGAAUUCCAGGUGUAGCGGUGAAAUGCGUAGAGAUCUGGAGGAAUACCGGUGGCGAAGGCGGCCCCCUGGACGAAGACUGACGCUCAGGUACGAAAGCGUGGGGAGCAAACAGGAUUAGAUACCCUGGUAGUCCACGCUGUAAACGAUGUCGAUUUGAAGGUUGUGGCCUUGAGCCGUGGCUUUCGGAGCUAACGCGUUAAAUCGACCGCCUGGGGAGUACGGCCGCAAGGUUAAAACUCAAAUGAAUUGACGGGGGCCCGCACAAGCGGUGGAGCAUGUGGUUUAAUUCGAUGCAACGCGAAGAACCUUACCUACUCUAGACUCCAAAAAAUUUGGCAAAAAUGC
rnacentral:rRNA from 1 species